rnacentral:rRNA from 1 species
UGGGGAAUAUUGCGCAAUGGGCGAAAGCCUGACGCAGCGACGCCGCGUGAGGGAUGAAGGUUUUCGGAUCGUAAACCUCUGUCAGAAGGGAAGAAACCGCACUGUGCUAAUCAGCAGUGCCUUGACGGUACCUUCAAAGGAAGCACCGGCUAACUCCGUGCCAGCAGCCGCGGUAAUACGGAGGGUGCAAGCGUUAAUCGGAAUUACUGGGCGUAAAGCGCACGUAGGCUGCUUUGUAAGUCAGGGGUGAAAUCCCACGGCUCAACCGUGGAACUGCCUUUGAUACUGCUUAGCUUGAAUCCGGGAGAGGGUGGCGGAAUUCCAGGUGUAGGAGUGAAAUCCGUAGAUAUCUGGAGGAACAUCAGUGGCGAAGGCGGCCACCUGGACCGGUAUUGACGUUGAGGUGCGAAAGCGUGGGGAGCAAACAGG